rnacentral:rRNA from 1 species
GGCGGCCGCGGGAAUCGAUUAGAGUUUGAUCAUGGCUCAGAUUGAACGCUGGCGGCAGGCCUAACACAUGCAAGUCGAGCGGAUGAAGGGAGCUUGCUCCUGGAUUUAGCGGCGGACGGGUGAGUAAAGCCUAGGAAUCUGCCUGGUAGUGGGGGACAACGACUCGAAAGGGUCGCUAAUACCGCAUACGUCCUACGGGAGAAAGUGGGGGAUCUUCGGACCUCACGCUAUCAGAUGAGCCUAGGUCGGAUUAGCUAGUAGGUGAGGUAAUGGCUCACCUAGGCGACGAUCCGUAACUGGUCUGAGAGGAUGAUCAGUCACACUGGAACUGAGACACGGUCCAGACUCCUACGGGAGGCAGCAGUGGGGAAUAUUGGACAAUGGGCGAAAGCCUGAUCCAGCCAUGCCGCGUGUGUGAAGAAGGUCUUCGGAUUGUAAAGCACUUUAAGUUGGGAGGAAGGGUUGUAGUUUAAUACGCUGCAACUUUGACGUUACCAACAGAAUAAGCACCGGCUAACUCUGUGCCAGCAGCCGCGGUAAUACAGAGGGUGCAAGCGUUAAUCGGAAUUACUGGG